AAAACGACUCUCGGCAACGGAUAUCUCGGCUCUCGCAUCAAUGAAGAACGUACCGAAAUGCGAUACUUGGUGUGAAUUGCAGAAUCCCGUGAACCAUCGAGUCUUUGAACGCAAGUUGCGCCCUAAGCCAUUUGGCCGAGGGCACGUCUGCCUGGGCGUCAAUC
rnacentral:rRNA from 1 species